AAAAAAAAAAAAAAAAAAAAGACGGGGUCUUGCUCUGUCACCCAGGCUGGAUGCAGUGGCGCGAUCAUAGCCCACCUCAAGUUUGAAUUCCUAAACUCAAGGGAUCCUCCUGCCUUGGCCUCCCAAAGUUCUGGAAAUACAGGCAUGAGCCACUGCACUUGCCCUCUAAUCAGUCUUUUAAAGAGCUAUGAAGUGCUCCUCACUUUUGUGCUCUGUGCAGUGUUAAAUAUACAAACAAAAUAAACUAGGAAUAAAUCGACAUCAGUGUUUAAGAAAAGUGUUACAUGUAUGUGAUGGGAUAUGAGCUAGAAUAAGGAGAGGCAGGGCACUAUAGGCUUUUAAAUUAUUAAAAUUUUGUAUUAUACAGGAAAGAAAGUUAUGAAGAAGGUGGCUUUAUUGGGACUCUCAGUUACAAGACACAGAAAUCCAACUUGAACCAGCUUAAGCAAAAAGGAAUUUAUCUUUCAUGUAACUAACCACCGAAAGAUUAGGGGUAGAGCCAGACUCAGGGACAAUGGGAUUGAGGAGUUCAAACAUCCUCAAGUCUUUGCCUUUUUCCCUCUCCUCUCUCAUCUUCACAGUCUUUUUUCUAGAUUGGCUUCAUUCCACUGGGAAGACUGGAACCACAGCCACUUAGAGCUCUGGGCAUUCUUUUGUACAAGUGCUUGAAAACAUUUCCUGCCAGCUCUAAUGAGAACUCCUGUGGCCAGGAACAAG
rnacentral:lncRNA from 10 species